CCAGCUGACGAGUCCCACAUAGGACGAAACGCGCGCCCAGUGC
rnacentral:hammerhead_ribozyme from 1 species